UCUAAAUGAAAAAGUUGACGGUAUAUCAGACGCUAUCAAUAUGCCACUCUCAAGCUCAUAAUUUACUAGUGCAAUGUAUUUACAAGCUAUAGAACAAUAGAAGAAAUGUCCCUUUUGACAUGUUCUUGUGCUUAUGCUAAUACUAACAGGUUAUAAGGCUCAAUCAAACUCCCCGUCUCCUAUCGCGAAUUUUCAGCAUUACGCUUCAAUCUUCACUCUCUGCAUUCGGAAAUUGAAACCAGCAUCAUCGAUAAAGAGUAGUACAUAAUUGCGCGUUCAUUCUACACCAGCCUUCUGCUUCAACAUGGCAAUGAAGCUAUCUCUGUCUUCUGGUGUCAUUCCUGCUGUUGAGCAAUCUCCAACUCCCCAUUCAGCUCCGCGUAAACAAUACUUGUCUUCAAUUGACCUUUUGUUCUUCUCUUUAUUUUGCUUGGAUUUUUCGAGUAACUGUUUAAGCAAAGGCGACUCUUUGAAUUUUUCAUCGAGUUCUGCAUACUUUUUCUGAUUAUUAUCGUUCCAACGAUUAAGAAACUCAAUCUUAGGUAAUUCAGGGCCAGGAACUGAUUCUAUACCAGUAUAACCCGAAAGAAAUCCAGCAUUAGCAGGAGAGGACCAUAGAAGAACAGCAAGGCAAGCAGAAAGCGGAACGAAUGACUUGGGAGAUGAAUAAGAGAAAAGAUGAGGAGUUUUUCUAAGUGAAGAGAUUAGUACUGGUUUUCUUUGAAAGAUUGAUGGGAAUGGUUGAAGAGCAGUUGAAGGGAAUUGCUUCAUUGGAGAAAUAGGAGUAGCCAUAGUCAUAAUUCUGCUUUUGCUCUGCUUCCACUAGACCAAAAAGUAGU
rnacentral:misc_RNA from 1 species